GUCUGGGCUGUGUGCCAGCACUCACAAUGAUAAGAGUCCUGGGCUUGGCCAACCCAGCUGCUUUCUUGUGGGAGAGUUAGCACCAAGACCCUCAUGGUCUGAGGGAACACAGAGGCUCUUGGGGGGUGGGGGUCAGGGGUUCUGGUCCUUGGAAUGCUGGUCAUAAAGGAAUGAUCUCCCUUGGCAAGUAUGCAGCCUUUGUUUCUCUGCCUGCUUAAGUCAAGCUUCUUUCUGUGAGGUAGCGGAUGCACAUUGCUGCCUAGCCCGCCGCCAUGGGACCUUCCCUCUUUCCUGCAGAGGUUCACCCAGGACCACUCCAUGACAAUUCAGGCUGCCUGGCUCCUUUGGCUGGACAGUGACUUCUGAACCAGGGUAUGUGGAAUGAGCUCUUCUAAGUGGGCUGAAUAUUCGUUGCACUGGGAAACUUCCAGGCUGAUGAUGGGUGCUGACAUAUGCCGCUGAGUUUACAGACUGACCAACCCAGGGUUCACCGGUUCGUAUCCUGGGUAUGGACGUGGCACCACUUGUCAAGCCAUGCUGUGGCCGUCAUCCCACGUAUGAAGCAGAGGAAGGAUAAGAUUGCAUCUCUGAGUCCAUUCAAACAGUCAAGGGUAAAGGAGAAAUAAAGCACUUGGUCAGAUUGUCAGAAGCAAGCUGACAUUGAUAAAGAAGUUCGCGGAGUUUGUCUGUGGCGGUGCUUUUGACUCCAGUGCUAAAGGAUUGUCAACAAGGAUUAAUAUUCAUGGAAAACAAGAACUGCCGUGUAAUGCAGGUAGGCUCACUCACAGUGGCAUCCUCGCAGUCACCUGUGUGCUAGUGAGUGACCUGGGAUUUUUCUCCUCUUCCACCAAGUCAACUUUAGCCCAACAACCUCAAAACGAAUGAGCAACCACUGAUUUUCCAUGUUAAGUAUGCCUUAGCUAUCAUUAUAGCAUUAUUUGACUCUUAAUUACAAUCCGUGAUGUCAGAAAAAUACCUCACGUUACCUCCUUCUCUACUCUGGCAUUUGAAAACCUCAGAACUGUAAUUAAAAUGCAAAAAGAAAAAAAGUGUUACCAUAACAUAAAAGCCUUCACAGUUCAGGCAAUAUUUCCUCGUCUUCUAUUCAUUUUUCCCAAUUUUCUCUGCAUGAAUCGAUGUUGUCAAUAUAGUUUCAAUUAUGUUAAAUACAAGCAAUAAAUGGUGUCUACGCAGGUGUUUGUCCAAGCAAUAUUAUAUAACUAAGAAAGCUUCUUAUUUUAUUCUAUUUUAUUUAUUCUACUCUUAUUUAGUGGAAUUAUUCUUUUUCCUUCUCAGCCCUGUGCCUCAUGGUAUGGAGGACAGAACACCUACUCUUCCAUGCUGCCCUACAUGUUUGAAAAUGAAGAUGAUGACUCUGUGUGUGUGUGUGUGUGUGUGUGUGUGUGUGUGUGUGUGUGUGUUGUGGGGAGGGAUAUUUGUCUUCAGGCCACUGUGGCUCACUGAUAAAGUGUCAGCAGCUAAAUUUUCAAGUAUCCUUCCUAUUUUCAGAGUGAAGACAAUGAUCUCAGCAUGGUGCCCUAACUCUGCUCCCAAAGUCUCCUUAGAAGUGAGCCCAGAGAUGGUGGGAGACUUACCUUUUGUCCACUCGUCAGCCAUUCUUCUCUCUUUCCCAAACAGUGUGUUUGAAACUGUGUCCUAAUUACAGUUUGAUAAGUAUUCAUUGAUUUGUUGAUUGCUUCUUUCUUUAUUUUGUAUAUAGAUUCAUUCAUUCCUUUGUAUGAAAUUAGUUAAUUCAUAAACUUGGUUAAUAUUUAUUACUUUUUUAAUAUGACACAGGCACUAAAAUAAGUAAAAGCAUCUCAAAAAUGAAAACAAAAAUAAGUCUCUGUCCUUCAAGAUCUUCCAGUGAGGGAUAAAUACAGGUUGGCUCAAUUUUUUAAAUAUUUGCAAUACGAAAAUACCAAAUAUGAUUAGAGAGGUAUACACAGAGUGCAAGGAGCACAGAGAGGGGGCCCAGAGGAGUGGGUGAAGUAUUGUUUAACUGAAUCUUAAAGGCCGAGGUAACA
ensembl:lncRNA